rnacentral:rRNA from 1 species
UGUACACGCUGUGACUAGCAUAUCAAUAAGCGGAGGAAAAGAAACUAACAAGGAUUCCCCUAGUAACGGCGAGUGAAGCGGGAAGAGCUCAAAUUUGAAAUCCUAAAGGGUUUCCCUUUACGAAUUGUAGUUUAAAGAAGUGUUUUCUGUUGAGGUUUUGGUAAAAGUUCUUUGGAAUAGGACAUCAUAGAGGGUGAGAAUCCCGUAUUUGACCUUUACUUUCAACUUUGAGAUACACUUUCAAAGAGUCGGAUUGUUUGGGAAUGCAGUCCAAAAUGGGUGGUAAAUUUCAUCUAAAGCUAAAUAUUGGCGAGAGACCGAUAGCGAACAAGUACCGUGAGGGAAAGAUGAAAAGAACUUUGAAAAGAGAGUUAAACAGUACGUGAAAUUGUCAAAAGGGAAGCGUUUGACACCAGUGUUGUUUUUCUGAAAAUCAAUUAAAGAACUGUUUAUGCUAAGUUGUUUAGACUUUAUCAGCUAUCUGUUUAGUUUUGAGCUUUUCUUUAAUGCACUUUUCAGUUAACAAGUCAACAUCAAUUUCUUUUGCUGUAAAAAAGCUUGAGGAAGGUGGCUUGAGACUCGUCUUAAGUGUUUAUAGCCUCUUGCCUAUGCAGUCGGAGAGAUUGAGGUCUGCAGCGUAGAUCCUUCGGGGCUAAAUGCAUUUGUGCUAAGUUAUAGCAUUUUAUAGACAACUUGUUGACUAUGAUUUGUCUUGUAGCUUACUCGCUUAUGUUAUUUUACCUACGCUUAGGAUGUUGAUAUGCAUGACUGAUAU